UCAUCAUGCCCCUUAUGACCUGGGCUACACACGUGCUACAAUGGCUGGUACAACGAGUCGCAAGCCGGUGACGCAAGCUAAUCUCUGAAAGCCAGUCUCAGUUCGGAUUGUAGGCUGCAACUCGCCUACAUGAAGUCGGAAUCGCUAGUAAUCGCGGAUCAGCACGCCGCGGUGAAUACGUUCCCGGGCCUUGUACACACCGCCCGUCGCACCACGAGAGUUUGUAACACCCGAAGUCGGUGAGGUAACCGUAAGAGCCAGCCGCCUAAGGUGGGAUAGAUGAUUGGGGUGAAGUCGUAACAAGGUAGCCGUAUCGGAA
rnacentral:rRNA from 1 species